rnacentral:rRNA from 1 species
AAGCCCCAGUAAACGGCGGCCGUAACUAUAACGGUCCUAAGGUAGCGAAAUUCCUUGUCGGGUAAGUUCCGACCUGCACGAAUGGCAUAACGAUGGCCACACUGUCUCCUCCCGAGACUCAGUGAAGUUGAAAUGUUUGUGAUGAUGCAAUCUACCCGCGGCUAGACGGAAAGACCCCAUGAACCUUUACUGCAGCUUUGCAUUGAACUGUGAACCGAUUUGUGUAGGAUAGGUGGGAGGCAGAGAAGAGGCCACGCCAGUGGUCUUGGAGCCGACCUUGAAAUACCACCCUGAUUUGUUUGCGGUUCUAACCACGGACAGUGAUCCUGUCUUGGGACCGUGCAUGGUAGGCAGUUUGACUGGGGCGGUCUCCUCCUAAAGGGUAACGGAGGAGUACGAAGGUACGCUAGGUACGGUCGGAAAUCGUGCUGAUAGUGCAAUGGCAAAAGCGUGCUUGACUGCGAGAGCAACAACUCGAGCAGAUGCGAAAGCAGGUCAUAGUGAUCCGGUGGCUCUGAAUGGAAGGGCCAUCGCUCAACGGAUAAAAGGUACUCUGGGGAUAACAGGCUGAUACCGCCCAAGAGUUCAUAUCGACGGCGGUGUUUGGCACCUCGAUGUCGGCUCAUCUCAUCCUGGGGCUGUAGUCGGUCCCAAGGGUAUGGCUGUUCGCCAUUUAAAGAGGUACGUGAGCUGGGUUUAAAACGUCGUGAGACAGUUUGGUCCCUAUCUGCCGUGGGCGUUGGAAGAUUGACGGGGGCUGCUCCUAGUACGAGAGGACCGGAGUGGACGCACCUCUGGUGUACCGGUUGUCACGCCAGUGGCAUUGCCGGGUAGCUAAGUGCGGAAGAGAUAACCGCUGAAAGCAUCUAAGCGGGAAACUUGCCUGAAGAUGAGUCUUCCCGGAGGUUGAACCUCCCUCAAGAGUCGUCCGAGACCAGGACGUCGAUAGGUCAGGUGUGUAAGCGCUGUAAGGCGUUGAGCUAACUGAUACUAAUUGCUCGUGAGGCUUGAUCCU